UACGUAGGGUGCAAGCGUUAAUCGGAAUUACUGGGCGUAAAGCGUGCGCAGGCGGUUAUGUAAGAGAGAUGUGAAAUCCCCGGGCUUAACCUGGGAACUGCGUUUCUAACUGGCAGGCUUGAGUGUGGCAGAGGGGGGUGGAAUUCCACGUGUAGCAGUGAAAUGCGUAGAGAUGUGGAGGAACACCGAUGGCGAAGGCAGCCCCCUGGGCUAACACUGACGCUCAUGCACGAAAGCGUGGGGAGCAAACAGG
rnacentral:rRNA from 1 species